AUUGAACGCUGGCGGAAUGCUUUACACAUGCAAGUCGAACGGCAGCACGGACUUCGGUCUGGUGGCGAGUGGCGAACGGGUGAGUAACAUAUCGGAACGUAUCCAAUAAUGGGGGAUAACUAAUCGAAAGGUUGGCUAAUACCGCAUACGCCCUGAGGGGGAAAGCUAGGGAUCUUCGGACCUGGCGUUAAUGGAGCGGCCGAUAUCUGAUUAGCUAGUUGGUGGGGUAAAGGCCCACCAAGGCGACGAUCAGUAGCUGGUCUGAGAGGACGACCAGCCACACUGGAACUGAGACACGGUCCAGACUCCUACGGGAGGCAGCAGUGGGGAAUUUUGGACAAUGGGCGCAAGCCUGAUCCAGCCAUUCCGCGUGAGUGAAGAAGGCCUUCGGGUUGUAAAGCUCUUUCGCAAGGGAAGAAAACUUAUCCCCUAACAUAGGAUGAGGUUGACGGUACCUUGAUAAGAAGCACCGGCUAACUACGUG
rnacentral:rRNA from 1 species